GAAACCCUGGUGGAAGCCCGAAGCGAUUCUGACGUGCAAAUCGAUCGUCUGAUUUGGGUAUAGGGGCGAAAGACUAAUCGAACCAUCUAGUAGCUGGUUCCCUCCGAAGUUUCCCUCAGGAUAGCUGGAACYCGCCUGUGCAGUUUUAUCAGGUAAAGCGAAUGAUUAGAGGUCUUGGGGUUGAAACAACCUCAACCUAUUCUCAAACUUUAAAUAGGUAAGACGUCCGACUUGCUUGAGUGAAGCCGGACCUCGAAUGCAGGGUUCCUAGUGGGCCAUUUUUGGUAAGCAGAACUGGCGAUGCGGGAUGAACCGAAAGCGGGGUUAAGGUGCCAAAGUCGACGCUCAUCAGACCCCACAAAAGGUGUUGGUUGAUCCAGACAGCAGGACGGUGGCCAUAAAAGUCGGAACCCGCUAAGGAGUGUGUAACAACUCACCUGCCGAAUCAACCAGCCCUGAAAAUGGAUGGCGCUCAAGCGUCGCACCCACACCCCGCCGUCGGGCCGAGCUGGCUGGCCCGACGUGUAGGAGGGCGCAGCGGUGGUGUUGCAGCCUAAGGCGCGAGCCUGGGUCAAACCGCCGUUGGUGCAGAUCUUGGUGGUAGUAGCAAAUAUUCAAAUGAGAACUUUGAAGACUGAAGUGGAGAAAGGUUCCAUGUGACACAGCAGUUGGACAUGGGUGAGUCGGUCCUAAGGGACGGGUUAACUCCUAGCAAGUGCGCACUCCCGGUCCGCCGGGAAGGCGCCCUCUCCCGAAAGGGAAUCGGGUUAAUAUUCCCGAACCGGAACGCGGAUAGGGCCGGUGGUCCUCGCGGUCGCCGACCACGGCGGUAACGCAAGCGAACUCGGAGACGCUGGCGGGGGCUCUGGGAAGAGUUCUCUUUUCUUCUUGACGGGCCGACCCCCUGGAAUGGGAUUGCCCCGAGAUAGGGUUCUGUGCUCGGCAAAGCGCUGCACCUCUUGCAGCGUCCGGUGCGCUCCCGACAGCCCUUGAAA
rnacentral:rRNA from 1 species